UUACCGCGGCUGCUGGCACCAGACUUGCCCUCCAAUUGCAUUUGGUAAGGUUUGUAAAUUACCCUCAUUACACUUCUAAGAAAACCUAGAGUUGUUAUUUCUUGUCACUGCCUCCCCGUGUCAGGAUUGGGCAAUUUUCGCGCCUGCUGCCUCCCGUAGG
rnacentral:rRNA from 1 species